ACAAUGGAGAGUUUGAUCCUGGCUCAGGAUGAACGCUAGCGGGAGGCCUAACACAUGCAAGCCGAGCGGUAGAGAUCUUUCGGGAUCUUGAGAGCGGCGUACGGGUGCGGAACACGUGUGCAACCUGCCUUUAUCAGGGGGAUAGCCUUUCGAAAGGAAGAUUAAUACCCCAUAAUAUAUUGAGUGGCAUCACU
rfam:Anopheles darlingi Cont749, whole genome shotgun sequence.